rnacentral:lncRNA from 1 species
AGGCGGAGUUUAUGAUUUAGGGUUUAGGGUUUAGAGUUUAGGGUUUAGGUUUUAGGGUUUAGAGUUGGGGAGUGGGGUUUUGGGAUAAAUUUCAAAUUUUGAAAAAUAAAAAAAAAUUAAAAUUUUCAAAACAAAAAAUGCUAUUUUGGUCAUUUUAUUUUUUUAGGUCUAUUUUUGUGAUAUAAACUUAGAAAUAUGAUAUUUUGGAGAUUUGCCCAAUAUAUUUUAUAUACUAUAGCUAUAU